rnacentral:rRNA from 1 species
GUCCAGACUCCUACGGGAGGCAGCAGUGGGGAAUAUUGCACAAUGGGGGAAACCCUGAUGCAGCGACGCCGCGUGAGUGAAGAAGUAUUUCGGUAUGUAAAGCUCUAUCAGCGGGGAAGAAAAUGACGGUACCUGACUAAGAAGCCCCGGCUAACUACGUGCCAGCAGCCGCGGUAAUACGUAGGGGGCAAGCGUUAUCCGGAUUUACUGGGUGUAAAGGGAGCGUAGACGGCAUGGCAAGUCAGAUGUGAAAGCCCGGGGCUCAACCCCGGGACUGCAUUUGAAACUGUCAGGCUGGAGUGCAGGAGAGGUAAGUGGAAUUCCUAGUGUAGCGGUGAAAUGCGUAGAUAUUAGGAGGAACACCAGUGGCGAAGGCGGCUUACUGGACUGUAACUGACGUUGAGGCUCGAAAGCGUGGGGAGCAAACAGGAUUAGAUACCCGCGUA